AUUGAACGCUGGCGGCAUGCUUUACACAUGCAAGUCGAACGGUAACAGCACUUCGGUGGCUGACGAGUGGCGAACGGGUGAGUAAUACAUCGGAACGUGCCUAGUAGUGGGGGAUAACUACUCGAAAGAGUAGCUAAUACCGCAUGAGAUCUAAGGUUGAAAGCAGGGGACCUUCGGGCCUUGCGCUACUAGAGCGGCUGAUGGCAGAUUAGGUAGUUGGUGGGAUAAAAGCUUACCAAGCCGACGAUCUGUAGCUGGUCUGAGAGGACGACCAGCCACACUGGGACUGAGACACGGCCCAGACUCCUACGGGAGGCAGCAGUGGGGAAUUUUGGACAAUGGGCUCAAGCCUGAUCCAGCAAUGCCGCGUGCAGGAUGAAGGCCUUCGGGUUGUAAACUGCUUUUGUACGGAACGAAAAGCCCUCUUCUAAUACAGGAGGGUCAUGACGGUACCGUAAGAAUAAGCACCGGCUAACUACGU
rnacentral:rRNA from 1 species